GGUGACGUGGCCGAGUGGUCAGGCAGAGGCCUGCAAAGCCUCCUACGGCGGUUCGAAUCCGCCCGUCACCUCUA
rnacentral:tRNA from 1 species